rnacentral:lncRNA from 1 species
CGAAAAUGGCAGAAAAGAAAGGGGUUUUGAAGCUCUGAAAUAUCAGCCACUUACAUCCCUUGCUAGUAAGUGAUUUUUAAUGUCUUUCUUGAUGAUUUUUACAUUUUUGGAACCCCUAAAGCAUGAGCUUUCAUAUGAGGGGUCUAUUUUGCAAAAUGAUGAAGAGUCUAGGGUUUUUCCAUGAGAGUAAAUAUGUUGUUUGCUGUGUUUUUAUGGAAGAUUAUGAGUCCUAGUUGUCUAAUAAACAACUUUUGUGAAAGAAAUUGCAUGAAAACACCUUAAAAAGGGCUAGAUUGCUAAGUUGUAAAAUGAGUUGUAAAUGUGUGAAAUAGUUGAAAUUAUGAGUUGCUAUAGUUAUGAAAAUGGUUCAUCUAGACUCAAGGAGUAAAGAAAUGUGAUAAAAAUUAUUUUACGAGCCUAGGGGUAAUUUGGUAAUUUUGGCAAAAUAUAGGGGUAAAAUUGUAAAAAUUGCUCAAGUGUGUCAAUGGACUAAUUUGAUCAGUACAUUGUUUUAAUAAGUUGAAUGUGAUAUUUUAGAUGAUGAAAAUCGAGAUUUGGACCUAGAACGAAAAAAAAUCGAUUAAGGGAUAAUUACGUCUUGUUUUACCUUUGUGGUAUCGAGGUAAGUUCAUAUGUAAAUGUUGGUAACAUAGUUAUUAUUUUAAAUGCUUUGAUGUUAUUUAAAUGAUAUGAUAAUUAUUAUGAGAUAUUAUACUUGUGAUAAUUGUUUGAUAAUAUGUCAAAUUAUAUGAUAUACUUGGAAAAUGUGAAAUACUAUCGAGUAUUGGUAUCGGCAUUCCGUAGAAGAUGGUUGAGACACAUGAUUGGGAAAAAGGUCCCGUUGAACCUUAGGAAUAGAUUAGGAUACAAGUGACAUGUCACUGGAAUAUUUGGGCAUCCGAGCUCGUUGAGUUGAGUCCGAGAUCACUUAUGGAUGCGAAUGUUUGAACUCGUUGAGUUGAGUCCGAGUUCGUGAGAUGUAACUAGGCAUCCGAGCUCGUUGAGUUGAGUCCGAGUUCACUUAUGGAUGCGAACGCCCGAGCUCGUUGAGUUCAGUCCGAGUUCACUUAUGGGCGGGUUACAUGGUAGCUUGGCUACAUAUGUGGCACUUAUGUGCAAACUUUCCAUGUAUCCAAAUUAUAUUCCGAUGUGUUCAAUGGGUAAAAUUCUACUCAAAUGGAGGAAUACUCGAGAUGAAAGGGACGUAUUGAUAAAUGUUGUGAAAUGGAUACUUUGAACAGGUAUGUACUUAACCCUCGGGUUGAAAACUCGGCAUAACAACAUGGUAAGAUGGUAAAUGAAAAUGUGAUAUGAAUGUCUCGGUGAUGAUUAUACAAAUGAUGUUGUAUUAAUUUUGUGAACAAUGAUCAUGAAUGAGUAAUUUAGCCUUGACAGAUUUGAGUUACUGCAGUAGUGUAACUUUGAAAAUACACUAAAAAUAGUGGAAAAUGAGUUAGAGGCAGAAUAAAAUAUGGGAUUAAAGCUUAAUACGUCUAUUUUCACAUGAAAGAAACAGAGGAAGAAAAAUAAUUCCAUAUUGUGUGAUAUUUGAAUUCUUGUGAAACAGGGUCUGAAUGAAUUCGAGAUCCCCUGUUCUGACUUUAUAAAUUCACCAAAAAUUGUACAAAAAUUAUUAAGAGUAAUAAGUUACAUGCAUGGAUUCCUUAUUGAGUCUAUUUUUAGGGGAAAUAAACGGAAUGGUUUUUGGAAUUCUGUACAGGGAGAAAUUCGGUUCGUAGUGCACAGGGGUAGGAGUGGUCAUACCCUGAAACAGGGGAGACUUUAACUAAUAAACUGUACUAAUUGGCCCAACCAAAAAUUCUAGAAAAAAAUUAGUAAAUAGAAAUAUGAGUCUAGUUUCAAGAGAAAUAGACGAGAACAUUAUUUGAGUCUUGUACUAUGAGAUAAUUGAACUUUAGUACAGAAGGGUCGGAACUAUCAGACAGUGAAUCAGGGGUAACUUUGAGGAAUAAACUGUACUAUUUGGCUUAACCAAAAAUUCUGGAAAUUUUUUGGAAGAAAGGAAAAUAAGUAUAGUUUCAUGGAAAUUUAACGGAACUUAAUUCGGAUUUUGGUAGCUCCAGAUAUAAAUAAAUUAGUGACUAUUGCUCAGAAAGACAGUUUGUAGUGAACUUGAGAAUAUGUUGUAAACAUUGAUAAAAUAAGUUAAUGAGUUGCUUAUUGUUUUCAUAUGAACUUAUUAAGCGAAAGCUUACCUCCCUUCUUUCCCAUGUUUCCUAGGGUUUCCAGGUUAGCUUGGGUUGGAGUUCGUCGGAGAUAUUAUCACACUGUCAAGCUAACGCUAUUGGUGUAGUGAUUUCAAGUACUUUGAGUCUAUGGCAUGUAUAGGAGUUUAAAUAUUAGAGUAUGUGAUAUGGCUUUGACCAUAUGUGUUGGCCUAUUUUGAUUAUGGGAUUGUAAAUUCAUUUUAAUUAUACAUGCAUGUGCUAUGGUAUUACGUGAUGAGCUUAUAAUGAUUAUAGCAUGAAUGUGGUAAAGAUGUGAGAAAAAUCUAUGAUAUCUAUUGCAUGUGAAAUUACUAUGGCCAUGUCAUGUUAGGAAUGUUUAAGUGCCUAAUUUUGCCACAUUGUAUGCUAUUGUAUAAGUAUGUGUGCAUGUGUUGUGAGGGUGACAAAAUGGCUUGGAAAAUAGCCUUGUAUUUGUCCAGGUUUUUGGAAAUGGGUUCGGGACACGGACGUGUCCCUAGCACACGGAGGUGUGCUCUAUUCCCACACAGGCGUAUGAAGCCUUGAUGUAAGAGAUUUUUUAAGUUUUUCAUGAGUUCUCGGUUGGGUCCCGAACCACUCCGGAUGUAUGUUUUGGGCCUCGUAAGCCCAUAUAUGGGACAGAUUGUAUAUGAAAAGAAAAGUUUUUAAUUAUUUGAGAUUUCAUGACCCUAUUUAGUAUAGAAGUGUUAGUAAAAGUCAAGUAGCACCUCGAACCCCGUCCCGGCGUCGGAUGCGGGCGAAGGGUGUUACAUUUAGUGGUAUCAGAGCAUGGUUUAGUCGGUUCUCGGACUAACCUAGCGUUAGAGAGUCUAGCUAUACAUGCCAUAGUAUUACUCGUGAUAGUGUGAUAUCUCCCGGCCCUAACAAAACUGUUGGUUAAGACAGGAAUGAAUUCCAACCGAGUAAAUCUUGAUAAAGAUAAGAGUAAAGCUGAGAUUAUUGAAUCAUACUUGUGACAUGCUGAAAAUGGGAAAGGUAUGAAAAGAAAUUCAUGAUUUUCAUAUGAACUAGUAUUCACUAUGUGAUACUCUUGAGUUAAAGAAUGUAAAAUAGUGGAAUGAAACAAAGUUAAGUUGUGAAAAGCUCUUUUAUGCAUGUUAGUAUUCAUACGAUGUUAAAUGUCCAACUUGAUUUGACCAAAUGUUUAUGAAAAGAUAGAAAUUUGUUUGAAAUGACAUAAUGUAUGUAUGAAUGCUUUUAUUGCAUGAUUAAUAAUCAGUAUAUACAUGAUGUUGACAUUUAUGUCUAGAUUAAUGAAGUCAAGAUACAGCAAUGUUAUGCUUUAUAAUCUCAGUUAGAGAAUCAUAAAUGUCACAAUAGCAUGAAAGUUGUAAUGAAAGAUCAAAUUGGGUGGAACGCAUGGAAUGAGUACGAUCGUUCACUAAUGAAUUGACGGAAAAGACCAUGGUUGGACCAUGGCAAUACAUGAGAUUUGUGAGCCAGUGUAAGACCAUGUAUGGAACAUGGCAUCGGCAUUGAGACGAGAGCUAGUACAAGACCAUAGUUGAACUAAGGCAUCAAGUAAACGAUGUACUCAAAACCAUGAGACGUUCUCUAAUUUGAUAAAUAUUGGCAAGUGAUUAAAACUAAAUAUGGGAAUUUGAUAAGACAUUAACGAUAAUUUGAGAAAAAGAAAUGAAAGUUUGAAUUGUGAUAAAUUCACUUAUGUUUAGCUAAUAUUCGCAUGAAAUAAAGUUGCAUGUAUUACUAAGAUAUGUGAAAAUGUGUUUAUAACAAGUUGGAAUUUUGAAAUGUUUGAAUCAAUAUGCGUAAAGCUAUGUUGUUGUUGAAUAUGUAUUUGCUUGAGAGUCAAAAGUUUAGAGGCUUUACAAUCUUCGCCCCUUACCAGAAUAGAGUUAUACGAUGAGAUUCUCGAGAGAUAUGUUGCAUAAGCUUACAAAAGUGAAACUAAAAAGGUAUAAUAAUGGAAUAGUAUGGGAUUAGUGACGACAGAAUUAGUUAGAGGAAUAAAGUCAGACUUGCACUGAUGUUUGAGUAUGUCGGAUUCAAUCAAAUAAAAGUUAUGGCUAUCUUUCUCUUCUGAGUAUUCUAUGUUUUCCUCUAUUCUGGGGAAUACGUAUGGUUAUCCCUUUCGAGUGAGAAUUCUAUCAUACGAGGAUGCUAGUGACUGUGAUAUUAGAAGAAAAGCUCUAUUAGUCCAGUUAGUUGUGAUUGACAUUUUCCCCAUCUCUUCAGAUUUCUAUUCUGAUAUAUUGGAAUGAAGUUGAUAGAAAAAAAAAUCCAUGUAAGAUUAUUCUGAUGUUCUAUUGAUUAUGGUUUAUAUAUGCGAGAAUUAUAUUAUCUCUGUUACGAGAAAUUCUAGAGCGUACAGACAGUAGUUUCUUUCUGGUUUUCUCUAAGGGAUUUUCCGGAUUAUCUAUAUUAUUUUCUUUUGGAUUAUAUUCUCGGAUUUCUAAUAUAGUCUUUAUAUCUUGGAAUUUCUUAUAUUGGCUUUUCUCUCGUUCUUGUUUCGAGAAUUAUCAAGCUUGGCUUAUCUUUACGAGUAAUCUUUGACUUACGAUAUUAGAAUCUGUUAUGAUUAAGCUUCUGGCUCGACCAUAGAAGUGUGGGGAUUUUAGUGUCGAGAUUUCUUUAAAAUUCCUGGGGUAAAGAAUGGUUAUUCUACAAAAGUAAAUCUGAGUUAUGUGCAUUUAAGUUUAUUCUCUGGUUCGAGAAUACCGUUACGUGUUCCUUGGUAAGUAGUCGUACAAUCAGAAAUGAUGAGGUUUUAUUCUUGAAAGUAUGUUAUGGAAACAUAUUAGUUGGAUUUCUCUUGUUCGAGAGAUGUUAUAAGUAUAGUUAUCCUGAUUAAUAAAGAGACCACAUCUAUGAAGUUGGAAUAAUUUGAUUCAUGUUAGUAAAGUUUUUAAACAGUUGAUGAUCAGAGUAUAGAAAUGUGGCUAUAAGUGGUAAAUUAAACAAGUACAGCAUGAUUCGACUUUUAAUUUGGAAUUGCAAGGAAGAUUUGAUUUCUGGUUUCUGUUACUAUUAUUUCAGAGUAAGAUUAGGGUACUGAGAAAGUCCAGGCUAUGUAGAGAAUUGUGUACAGAGUUCACAGCAAUUUUUUUUUGUUUAUUCUUCCAAAGGAUAUUAAAUUGACUACUAGGUGAAGCCGAUUAUCAGAUAUGUUAAAGAUUAUAAUUGUCAGUGCUGACAUUGAAAGAGAAAAUUGAGAAAGGAUUAGUAUGAAUUUUGUAUCGGGAUGUCUCUCUCUUCUCCGGGAAAUAAGAGAUACCAUAUUGGAUUUUGAUAGAUUGAUGAUAGUAGUCUGCAUGACUAUUCUGGUAUAUACAGAGGUAUAGUUAGUUGGGUUUGGACAAGUUGUGCUUCUAAGCUUAUAGUUCUUAGAAUAUUAGUUUUCAGUAUUUCGAAUUGAGCUGAGAAUUUUAUGGUAAUUGUGGAAAGAUUACGAAAAUCCUGAGUAUGAGUUUCAGCUGAGUUGUUUUGUAAGUUUUGAGAGAAAAAUAUAAGUGACUCAUGAAAGUAGAGAGCAACUUUUUCUGGUAAGAUUUUCGGGGACGAAAAUCCCUAAAGGGGGGAAGAAAUGUAACAGCCCGAUUUUGGGCCUAGUUGGAAAAAUGGUUUCUGGAACACUAUUCCGAGGCCAGAGAAAAUUAUUUUAGUAUUAUUUUAUGUGUUAUAAUAUAAUUUUAUAAGUGCAUGUAAAUUUUGGUAAGUUAAUUUUAGCAAUUUCUAGUCCAAUUUCGAAAAAGGACUAAAUCGCGUAAAAGGUAAAAGUUGUGUUUUAAUACCUAAAGGUGUUAAAUUGCCUUGUAUCUUAAAUUGGGGGUCUUUAAAGUGAAAUUAGGCCAUUGAAAUUGUGAUGGUCGGCCAUGGGAGACAAAAAAAAAUUAUAGUCAAAAUUAGGUGAAGUUGGUCAUCAAUUUUGACUAGUUUUAUUAUUAACAAAUUAAAAAGAAAAAGCUAUCAUUUUUCUCUUCUCCUCCACCAAAAAUGGCAGAAAAGAAAGGGGUUUUGAAGCUCUGAAAUAUCAGCCACUUACAUCCCUUGCUAGUAAGUGAUUUUUAAUGUCUUUCUUGAUGAUUUUUACAUUUUUGGAACCCCUAAAGCAUGAGCUUUCAUAUGAGGGGUCUAUUUUGCAAAAUGAUGAAGAGUCUAGGGUUUUGCCAUGAGAUUAAAUGUGUUGUUUGCUGUGUUUUUAUGGAAGAUUAUGAGUCCUAGUUGUCUAAUAAACAACUUUUGUGAAAGAAAUUGCAUGAAAACACCUUAAAAAGGGUUAGAUUGCUAAGUUGUAAAAUGAGUUGUAAAUGUGUGAAAUAGUUGAAAUUAUGAGUUUCUAUAGUUAUGAAAAUGGUUCAUCUAGACUCAAGGAGUAAAGAAAUGUGAUAAAAAUUAUUUUACGAGCCUAGGGGUAAUUUGGUAAUUUUGGAAAAAUAUAGGGGUAAAAUUGUAAAAAUUGCUCAAGUGUGUCAAUGGACUAAUUUGAUCAGUACAUUGUUUUAAUAAGUUGAAUGUGAUAUUUUAGAUGAUGAAAAUCGAGAUUUGGACCUAGAACGAAAAGAAAUCGAUUAAGGGAUAAUUACGUCUUUUUUUACCUUGUGGUAUCGAGGUAAGUUCAUAUGUAAAUGUUGGUAACAUAGUUAUUAUUUUAAAUGCUUUGAUGUUAUUUAAAUGAUAUGAUAAUUAUUAUGAGAUAUUAUACUUGUGAUAAUUGUUUGAUAAUAUGUCAAAUUAUAUGAUAUACUUGAAAAAUGUGAAAUACUACCGAGUAUUGGUAUCGGCAUUCCGUAGAAGAUGGUUGAGACACAUGAUUGGGAAAAAGGUCCCGUUGAACCUUAGGAAUAGAUUAGGAUACAAGUGACAUGUCACUGGAAUAUUUGGGCAUCCGAGCUCGUUGAGUUGAGUCCGAGUUCGUGAGAUGUAACUAGGCAUCCGAGCUCGUUGAGUUGAGUCCGAGUUCACUUAUGGAUGUGAACACCCGAGCUCGUUGAGUUGAGUCCGAGUUCACUUAUGGGCGGGUUACAUGGUAGCUUGGCUACAUAUGUGGCACUUAUGUGCAAACUUUCCAUGUAUCCAAAUUAUAUUCCGAUGUGUUCAAUGGGUAAAAUUCUACUCAAAUGGAGGAAUACUCGAGAUGAAAGGGACGUAUUGAUAAAUGUUGUGAAAUGGAUACUUUGAACAGGUAUGUACUUAACCCUCGGGUUGAAAACUCGGCAUAACAACAUGGUAAGAUGGUAAAUGAAAAUGUGAUAUGAAUGUCUCGGUGAUGAUUAUACAAAUGAUGUUGUAUUAAUUUUGUGAACAAUGAUCAUGAAUGAGUAAUUUAGCCUUGACAGAUUUGAGUUACUGCAGUAGUGUAACUUUGAAAAUACACUAAAAAUAGUGGAAAAUGAGUUAGAGGCAGAAUAAAAUAUGGGAUUAAAGCUUAAUACGUCUAUUUUCACAUGAAAGAAACAGAGGAAGAAAAAUAAUUCCAUAUUGUGUGAUAUUUGAAUUCUUGUGAAACAGGGUCUGAAUGAAUUCGAGAUCCCCUGUUCUGACUUUAUAAAUUCACCAAAAAUUGUACAAAAAUUAUUAAGAGUAAUAAGUUACAUGCAUGGAUUCCUUAUUGAGUCUAUUUUUAGGGGAAAUAAACGGAAUGGUUUUUGGAAUUCUGUACAGGGAGAAAUUCGGUUCGUAGUGCACAGGGGUAGGAGUGGUCAUACCCUGAAACAGGGGAGACUUUAACUAAUAAACUGUACUAAUUGGCCCAACCAAAAAUUCUAGAAAAAAAUUAGUAAAUAGAAAUAUGAGUCUAGUUUCAAGAGAAAUAGACGAGAACAUUAUUCGAGUCUUGUACUAUGAGAUAAUUGAACUUUAGUACAGAAGGGUCGGAACUAUCAGAUAGUGAAUCAGGGGUAACUUUGAGGAAUAAACUGUACUAUUUGGCUUAACUAAAAAUUCUGGAAAUUUUUUGGAAGAAAGGAAAAUAAGUAUAGUUUCAUGGAAAAUUAACGGAACUUAAUUCGGAGUUUCGUAGCUCCAGAUAUAAAUAAUUUAGUGACUAUUGCUCAGAAAGACAGCUUGUAGUGAACUUGAGAAUAUGUUAUAAACAUUGAUAAAACAAGUUAAUGAAUUGCUUAUUGUUUUCAUAUGAACUUACUAAGCGACAGCUUACCCCCCUUCUUUCCCAUAUUUCCUAGGGUUGCCAGGUUAGCUCGGGUUAGAGUUCGUCGGAGAUAUUAUCACACUGUCAAGCUAACGCUAUUGGUGUAGUGAUUUCAAGUACUUUGAGUCUAUGGCAUGUAUAGGAGUUUAAAUAUUAGAGUAUGUGAUAUGGCUUUGACCAUAUAUGUAGGCCUAUUUUGAUUAUGGGAUUGUAAAUUCAUUUUAAUUAUACAUGCAUGUGCUAUGGUAUUACGUGAUGAGUUUAUAAUGAUUAUAGCAUGAAUGUGGUAAAGAUGUGAGAAAAAUCUAUGAUAUCUAUUGCAUGUGAAAUUACCAUGGUCAUGUCAUGUUAGGAAUGUUUAAGUGCCUAAUUUUUCCAUGUUGUAUGCUAUUGUAUAAGUAUGUGUGCAUGUGUUGUGAGGGUGACAAAAUGGCUUGAAAAAUAGCCUUGUAUUUAUCCAGGUUUUUGGACAUGGGUUCGGGACACGGGCGUGUCCCUAGCACACGGAGGUGUGCUCUAUUCCCGCACGGGCAUGUCAAAAAUAUUAGAUUAAAUCAAAACUUGUUACGUGUCAUCAUUUGAUUAGCCCAUCAAUUUAUUUUAAUUGUUAACGUGGUCAAUGACGGAAACCGCUAACGGAG